GAUAUCCACUCACUGAGUGGUGAUCUCUCUCUCUCUCUCUCUCUCUCUCUCUGAAUGAAGUGAAUAUUUAUUUUUUCGAUAAAAAAUAGCAUGUAUAGUUAUUAUGGAUGUACUCGAUCAUAGUCAAAUAACAAUAACAAUAUUUAGUAGCAACCUAAAAAAAAAUCGGACAUGAAGAAUUAUCAAUAAAUCCAAUAAAUAAAUCCGAGCAAUCUGGUACCGGUACCGUACCGUUUAGCUGGUACCGUUAGUACCGGUACUGGUACCGGUACCUGCCCACCCCUAUAGAAUGGCAGUGGCCUUCCAACCCGCGAAUCCUCCUGACGUCCAGUGUGGAUUUUUUUUUAUAUCAGUGACCCAAAUAACAUAACAAAGUCACUGAAACAAACGAUUCAUCCUUACAAUAUGCAUAAAUGGGGGUUACCAAUGAUGAUGAAAAUUAACUAGUAGCCUACCCAUGGUUAUAAUAAUUUUGAAUAGUAAAUCUGCAUGUAUCGGCAAUAAACACGUCAGUCACUGUAAGGUAAAGUUGGGGGCAUACGCUAUAGCAGCGCGUGGCCUCGGUGCUCGUCUCCGUCGCAUUGGCCAUUGAGCCUGUGGUGGGUGGGAGCCCAUUACCCCGGGACACAGGGCCAGUGUGACAUCCGGGUGGGUGCUAUUCUAUAUAAAACACAGCCGUCGCGUUUCCCUCCCCUCCCUCGCCCGGCCACAAAACCCUUGCCCCGCCAUACAUAUAUGGCUCUCCACACAUCUAUUCAUCCAACUGUUUUCGUUGAAAGCUACUACAGGCCUCUUGCUGGGCCCGAAGUUAAAAUUUCAACGCCCCGCCCACUGCACCACUUUUAACUUAUUAUUCAUGGUUUUCGGCACAUAUCUAUGGGUAAAUAUGUAACUGGCAUACAGUACCUACAAUUUCGGAUAACCAGGCAGCACCUGGAUGCAGUGGUUGUACCAAAAAAUACCCAAAUAUGGGAAAUAAGGCAUGCAAAUGGCGGCGGCGGCGAUAGUCUUGGUCCUGGCCUGGAUCUUGGGUCGAAAGUGAUCUGCUCUCCAGUGUGGUCUCUCCGGGCCACCCAGAUCCUCUAAAAUGGGUGCAGGCUGCGGCGUCAGCUGAUUGGUUUCGCUAAAUGGAACACGCCAGAUCACGACCCAGAAACGGGUUACGCUAAAUGGAAGACGCUAUAUAUGACACCACGGGUGUCCUUUCUUGUUCUGCAGCGUUAAAGAUUUUAACCCUGCAGAACAAAAAUUCGAACUGAUUGCUUGAUUGAUGUUUUAAUUGUUGCAAAGGUACACCACAAUUAAUUAAAAGAGAUCGGAGGGACGAAUAUGCCACCCGGCCUGACCCCCAGGCAAUACGUAGUGUGAUUUUCAGUAAUACAAGAAACAUGUGUACUGUACAAUAUUCAUAUCACCAAGCAGUGGAGGAAAUUCUAAGAUUCGUUAUAUUAAAAUAAAACACAGAAAAACAAAGGAAGAAAUUAAGUGUAUGCAAGGAGCAAAUAAAUUAAUGGUAUAAAUGGUUGGCUGAUAGAGGUGAAACAUGCCGUCUCGACCACCAGGUAAUGCAAAUAUACAGCUAUGACAUAGACGUAGUUAUGAGUAAUGAUGGCGUUGCGUAUCCAUCUUUUAGAGGCCAGAAAAAACGUAAACUGCGCAUGCCCGGUCCAGCUGCUGGCGUGAUGGUGUCUCCUGUGGCUGCCUCGCGUCCGUGCUGCCUUGCCUGUGCUGGGGGACUACACGUGGAUGGAGCACACCUAGCAGGGCUCCGCGGCACUCCAAGAUCUGACUAGAGGAGGUGCCUCAGAAGAAGAGGUCCACAGUUCGCCAGUAUCAGUGUCAGUCUGUCAAGGAACAUCAUAGUUGACACCUCCACAUCCUGAAAGCCAUGGCAUCACAAGCGUCUGUUGCUGCUGCUGCUGCUGCUGCUGUUGACCUCGCCAUACAGCUCGGCUUGUCAUCACUACCUAACCAGGGCAGCAAACUCAGUAUACUUAACCAGCUGAGAACAUCAAAGUUGUUAUACUCGAAGGACAGUUCAGUGUUGAUUAUUGAUAGAACUUGCUCACUCUUCCUUCCAAGUUUGUUCUGUGCCUCCUCCUGUCCUGUUCACUUCAGUUCAAGCUCAGGAGUUUGUCUAAUGACACUGUCCAUUUUAUAAUACUCUGAAUUCAUUCAUUAUUAUUUUAUAACCACACAGUAGUUCAUCUUCAUUGAUUUUCACACUCCUGCAAGUCUCCCUUGAGGUAAUUCCUUCUUUUAUGCAGCUCCGGCACAUUCCAUGUCUAUCCACUACUCCAUAAAUUCAUUUCUUGCAUUCCAUUUAGAUCUUGUGAAUUGGCUCCCACAAUUUCUUGGCAUACAAACGGGAGACAAGCUUGUAACAACUAGCAUUGUCAGAUCAUAUUCGAGUGAACAAUGGCCUUUUAAAACCUGUGCUUCAGCAUGGCCAUUUGUCCAAACGUGUUUAGUUACCGUCAGUUUUGUCCAAUGUGCAUAACUUGACCCCAAAUCUGAGUAAAUUGGAGGCCAUGGUGAUGUGGCAAUUGGCAAUUCACUCCUGGGUCAGUUUUGAGCAGGAGCAUCAGGGUUGGAUGCCAGCUGUCACUAGUAUGCUAAUUUUGUAAAAAAAGAUGCCUAAAUGAUUUUUAAGUGAAAAAAGUGGCUGCAUGAACAUGAGAGGAGCAUGCUAAUGCAUACAUACCCAGUGCUGUUAUGCUACCCUCAUAUUUAGCCAUUUCUUAGCCACUCACAGCUUUAAGUUAGCCUCAGCAUAGAUUAAGUGCCCAUAAUUUAGUUCAUUUCAAGUUCUAUAUAAGAGAUCUGGCUUCGCAAGUGCAAAUAAAAGGUAUUUCAAUUAUUUAUUGCAUGUAAAUCACAUAUGUAAUUGUAUUCAAAAUGGCCCAGCAUAACAUGAUUAUAUUUCAUGCCAUUUUGAAUAACCUGUGUGAUUUACAUGCAAUAAUUAAUGCCUAUAACCUAAAAUGAGAUAACUGAUAGGUUGAGAGGCUGUUGUUCAUUCGAGUAUGAUCUGACGAUGCUGUUUGAAAGAAGCUUGACUGUCGUGUGCUUGUAUGGUAUAUUAUCAAUGCAAAUCAGCAGCCUUGGGAUUUAUAAGGCUAGUUUUAUUGUAUACCUGAACAUUCAAAUAUUUUAUUGAAAUAAUAGCUUUAAAGUUGAUUUUCAUCCAGUCAGGAAAUGUAUAGCAAUACAUAUGUGCCACAUCUAUGCUCGUGAAUGGACGGAUGGAAUGAAACCAACUAUGGUACAGUUUUGUCUUGUGCCAUCUUUUUCAUCACUUCCAUCUCUAUUAAACUUGACGUAUCUUUGAAGCUUAUGAAAUAAUACACACUUAUAAGUAAAUAUUUUAUUGAUAGAAGAUAGUACAUAGAACAUUGGGAAAGGGUCAGAAGGGGAAAGUUGUCUGUGGUGUACGUCAACAUAGUGUGUACUGUGGUGAGAGGGUCUCUUAUGUGUUUGGGGGGCAUGUCUGUGGGGUUUGUCACCAUCCUGUGGGUCCUGUGUGGAUGGAGCAGCUGAUGAGAGGGUGGGUGGGGGAACAUAUGUUUGGGGGUAUCUAUUAUAAGCCUCGUUAUUCCCCAGAGUAGGGGAGCAUUUACACUGGAGCCUAACAAGUCAUUGUCAGAAAGUAUACUAAAAGAUUAAGCUAAGAAAAACAGUGUUUCUGUCUGUGUGUGUUGAAGGAAUGAGGGUGGAGCUGGUGAGUAAGGAAAA